rnacentral:rRNA from 1 species
UACAGAGGUGGCAAGCGUUGUUCGGAAUUACUGGGCGUAAAGGGCGCGUAGGCGGUCCGAUAAGUCCCGUGUGAAAGCCCCCGGCUCAACUGGGGAACUGCACGGGAAACUGACGGACUUGAGUUCGGGAGAGGGAAGCGGAAUUCCGGGUGUAGCGGUGAAAUGCGUAGAUAUCCGGAGGAACACCGGUGGCGAAGGCGGCUUCCUGGACCGAUUACUGACGCUGAGGCGCGAAAGCUAGGGGAGCAAACGGG